AUGAGGGACUGUCUGUGGUGGAAGGGGAUGUGGGGGCUCCUUCGGGCCUGGCCUGAUGUAGCAGCCAAGGCUGAAAGCAAAAUUCUUGCUCCCAUCGCCCUCCGGGACAGCAUGCACAAACUCUUGCUAUGGCCUGGGCUGUCCUCCCACUCCUUUCAUUCUCCUUGGAAAAUGUUCACGUCACAUUUGUUCAGGAUCCAAACACUUUUUUUUUAUCCGCAAGCACUGCCAGUUCACUCCUGCACCCAAAAAUCAAACCGUGUCCUGUCUGCUUCAUAUAUCAUCGCUGUCCGUGUCGGUGGGAAACCAGAGCCCAGCUGGAGCGGUUAUGGAUGUCGUGUGAGCCCAGAUGAGCAUCUGCUGCUGUGCCCGAAACCGAACCGGUGCAGUGAAUUUCCCCACGUGCCACUUCACAUCCUGCGUCUUGAGGGGGAGCUGAGAGCACAUGUACGAACCCCUGGGUUUUCUGCGAUCCGUUCAGGACCACAACCUCCCAACAGCUACAUCCUCCCUGCGGCUACUGAUGCAUCCCUCCCAACUUCAGCUUCAUCUGGAUCCCUGCAAAACUUCUGGGGCAAUCGGGUGCCUCGCUUUGAAGUUUAAAGGGUUCUUUCACCUUUGCUGUUGCUUUGAUUUUGUUAUUUACUCUUUUGACAUGUGCUUCCUAUAAACCCACCAUCCCAGAGCAGCUCCUGCACUUGCACUAACGAGAAACAUCAUCUGCAGCUGCUCCGCUCCAAGGAAAUUCCAUUUGGGAGCUGCGCUGCCUGCAGCUGGCUCCUACGGCUUCGAUGCUGCUCAGAUCUCAUGCUUGAGGGCUUAAGGUGAUCAUUGCUAGAAUCGGCAAGGGAGAGCCUGCGUAGGAAGAGCCUUGAACAAUCACCCAGGUGUGCUGCUGUUAUUUACUGUUUGUGCUGCUGUAGCCCCCUCGUCCCCGCCGAGACCGGCCCUGGCUAUUAGACACUGAAUGCGUGUGGGGAAGGGACAUCUCCCCGUUCUUCCCGUCCUGCUGAGCAAACGAGGCAGUGGUUACACGCACGAUGCAGAGAAAAGGAAGCGAUUUGCUUGUGCUUGUGUGGGAAAGGCUCUGGCAGGGCCGGGAGAGCCACUUGUCCACGGUGCCACUGCAGUGCAUCAGAUGGCAUCAAGUCCCCAGUUGUGAGUGACGGUACCAGAUCCCCCGGGAGAGGCAGGACCAUGCCCCUUGGGGGACAGGCUCCUGCGUCACACGGGCUGUAACCAGAUGAUGAAGGACAAUUAUUGCUCCUGCAUGUAGCUGUAACAAAGUUGGGUCCCAGUAACUCUCACCCAAAGCACGCCGAGGAGGAAUCUGCUAUCCCUGUUUACAAGCUGGAUGCCAGCAGUGAAAAGAACUGCCCGAGGCUGCUUGGAAACCGGGGGGAGCAGGAGCAGAGAGCUCAAAAGCCCCCCUGCAGCCCCGGCCACCCCCUGCUCCUACCCACACCCUCCCACCCUUUUUCCUCGGGCCAGCGGCCCUACAGGUGGGGAAGGACCCGCUGAGGGCUGCGUCUCCUCGGCGGCUCAGCCUUGCGUGCUGUAACAAUAAUUACCCUAAAUUGUUUCUUUUAAUUAGCCUUAUUCC
rnacentral:lncRNA from 1 species